UUUUUACCCAAUGUUCAGAAAAUGAAGCACAAUUUACUAAAAUUUUCUAAUUAUAAUACCAUGAUAACUUAUGUUAUCAUUGGAACCAAAUAUGUAAUCUUGGCAGCAAAAAAAAACACCAAACCUACUACACAUCACAUGAUGAUAUCACAUGCACAAUAGUACUUGUUUAAAUCAGGAGUGAGUGCUAGUAACACACAGGACAAGCUGACUGGAUUUGUCAUUUCAGUUUAGAACAGAGAGAGGGAGGCCAAUACUAUCAUAUACUCAGUGAUGACUUCCUUCAAGACUAUCAUCCUUAUUGCAGCUAUAACACUCAUGCUACAUGUAGCUGCAGCCAUUGUCACAAGUGAAGAUGAGAAAAUACAAUACUUGUGCUACAGAGAUCAUGAAUGCAAGAACCGCAAUGGGAAGGUACCAGCACCAAACGAUCACUUUCAAUUUGUCUGCUGCACAACCUUACGCUCUCAAUCCUAUCAAAUACAGCGAGGAGAGAACGUGCCAGGACCUUGUAGGCUGUGUUUUCACGGCCCAGAUCAAGAAGAAUAAACAAGAUAAAACAUAUCAUAGAGAAAGACUUUGUUUUGCAUAUACAUGUACAGUAUAAUUAUAAAAUUUAUAGUAUAACAUUUUCAUCAAUAGUAACAACUUGCUUUAUUUAAUUCGUGUUUUACCAGCAAGGAACUACUUUAACUGAA